AUUGAACGCUGGCGGCAGGCCUAACACAUGCAAGUCGAGCGAGCGGGGCACGCGUGAGUAAUGUGUGGGAAACUCCCUGAUGGGGGGGGAUAACUACUGGAGACGCUAGCUAAUACCGCAUACCAUCAGAGGUGCCCACAUGGGGUUAGCUAGUAGGUGGGGUAAUGGCUCACCUAGGCGACGCUCCCUAGCUGGUCUGAGAGGAUGACCAGCCACACUGCAACUGAGACACGGUCCAGACUCCUACGGGAGGCAGCAGUGGGGAAUAUUGCACAAUGGGCGCAAGCCUGAUGCAGCCAUGCCGCGUGUGUGAAGAAGGCCUUCGGGUUGUAAAGCACUUUCAGCGGGGAGGCGUUACCCGCAGAAGAAGCACCGGCUAACUCCGUGCCAGCAGCCGCGGUAAUAC
rnacentral:rRNA from 1 species